GGAGAAUCGCUUGAACAUGGGAGGUGGAAGUUGCAGUGAGCUGAGAUUGCACCACUGAACUCCAGCCUGGGUGACACGGCAAUCCAGCACAUCGAGGGCACCCAGGAAAAGCAGGAGCUGGAGGAGGAGCAGCGGCGAGCUGUCAUCGUGAAGCCUGUCCGCAGCUGCCCGGAGGCCCCCACCUCUGACACCGCCUCCGACUCCGAGGCCUCAGACAGUGACGCCAUGGACCAGAGCCGGGAGGAGCCGUCGGGGGACGGGGAGCUUCCCUGACUACCCCCCCAGCCCUCCUCUCCCUUCUGGGGGCUGGAGGGAGCCGGGGCAGCCACAGGGAGAGACAUGGGCGAAUGAGUGAGAAAUUUUUACAAAAUUACGAUGUCAUUUGGGUCUCUUUUAUGACCUCUUUUUCAAUACUGUAAAUCGACCUUUGAACGAAGCCACUCAACCCGAGGUCCCGGGGCUGGGGUGUCGCAGAGCGUGUGGGAGCAUCGGCACCCCAGGGCGGGGCCUCGGCCCCGGGGGCUGGAGGAAGCUGACACGGAGAUGCCUGGCCUCUCUCUGCCAAAAAGCAUUUUUUCCUUUAAAUAUGUUUUUUAAGAACAGGGAAAAUUAAACAAAACCCCAGGUUAUUUCUUCCCUGCCCAGAGCCAGCCUGGGAUUGUCAGCCUUCAAUCCCCUUUCCUUCCUCUUUUUGGGUUUUCUUCUUUCUCCUUUAAGCACUUACAUGGUUGGGGGUAAGACUAGGCUGGGGCAUUCUGGGGGCCCGGAGGUCUCCGUUGCUUCUUGGUUGGGGUUUGCUGCUGCUGUGCCCCCCUCCCCCUUCCCCAUCUCGGCACUAGAAUUCGCCACUCUCCCACCCCCCAGCCCCCACCUCUGCCUCCAGGUCUCAUCUUCCACCCCAAAAAUGUCUGUCUCUCUCUUUUUGUUUUGUUUGUUGUUGGUUUUUUAUUUCUUUUUGGUUUGCUUUCUGUUUUUGUUUUGUUUUUCUUUUUUUUCUUUCUUUUUUUUUUUUUUUUACAAUUUUGAGGUCUUCGUGUUCAAGGAGAAGCUAUUAUAUUUUGUUAAGAAAGUGGGGAGAAAAAAACCAAGAGGCCACCGUGCCUUUGUAAAGAAACAAAAUAAAGUUUGUACUUUGUUUUUUA
rnacentral:lncRNA from 10 species